CUCCUGAGUCCCGUUGCAGCCCCGAGUGAGCCUACGCUAAUUUCCUUAUAUAAUCAGUCCCUAUGUAGCUAGUGUGGAGCCUGAGAGGAUUAUGACAAUGUGGCAGGUGAUGUGGGACCAGGGCACAUGGAG
ensembl:scaRNA